rnacentral:rRNA from 1 species
CCAAUAGCGUAUAUUAAAGUUGUUGCAGUUAAAAAGCUCGUAGUUGAAUUUCGGGAUCAAUAUGUCGGUCGUGCCUCGGUACGUACUGGCAUCGUUGGUUUCUCCCUUCUGAAGAACCAUGAUGUCAUUCAUUUGGUGUCGUGGGGAAUCAGGACUGUUACUUUGAAAAAAUUAGAGUGUUUAAAGCAGGCUCACGCUUGAAUACAUUAGCAUGGAAUAAUGAAAUAGGACGUUUGAUUCUAUUUUGUUGGUUUCUAGAAUCGACGUAAUGAUUAAUAGGGAUAGUUGGGGGCAUUAGUAUUCAAUUGUCAGAGGUGAAAUUCUUGGAUUUAUUGAAGACUAACUACUGCGAAAGCAUUUGCCAAGGAUGUUUUCAUUAAUCAAGAACGAAAGUUAGGGGAUCGAAGACGAUCAGAUACCGUCGUAGUCUUAACCAUAAACUAUGCCGACUAGGGAUCGGAUGAUGUUAAUUUUUUAAUGACUCAUUCGGCGCCUUACG